rnacentral:rRNA from 1 species
GACGAACGCUGGCGGCGUGCUUAACACAUGCAAGUCGAGCGAUGAAACUACUUCGGUAGUGAAUUAGCGGCGAACGGGUGAGGAACACGUGAGGAAUCUGCCUUCUACACUGGGAUAACUCCGGGAAACCGGGGCUAAUACCGGAUAUGAAACUUGGUGGCAUCACCGAGUUUGGAAAGUUUUUCGGUAGAAGAUGACCUCGCGGCCUAUCAGCUUGUUGGUGAGGUAAUGGCUCACCAAGGCGACACGGGUAGCCGGCCUGAGAGGGCGACCGGCCACACUGGGACUGAGACACGGCCCAGACUCCUACGGGAGGCAGCAGUGGGGAAUAUUGGGCAAUGGAGGAAACUCUGACCCAGCGACGCCGCGUGAGGGAUGAAGGCCUUCGGGUUGUAAACCUCUUUCAGUAGGGAAGAAGCGAAAGUGACGGUACCUACAGAAGAAGCACCGGCUAACUACGUG